GACGAACGCUGGCGGCGUGCCUAACACAUGCAAGUCGAGCGAAUGAAGUUCCUUCGGGAACGGAUUUAGCGGCGGACGGGUGAGUAACACGUGGGCACCCUGCCUCAUAGAGGGGAAUAGCCUUCCGAAAGGGAGAUUAAUACCGCAUAAGAUUGUAGUACCGCAUGGUACAGCAAUUAAAGGAGCAAUCCGCUAUGAGAUGGGCCCGCGGCGCAUUAGCUAGUUGGUGAGGUAACGGCUCACCAAGGCGACGAUGCGUAGCCGACCUGAGAGGGUGAUCGGCCACAUUGGGACUGAGACACGGCCCAGACUCCUACGGGAGGCAGCAGUGGGGAAUAUUGCACAAUGGGGGAAACCCUGAUGCAGCAACGCCGCGUGAGUGAUGACGGCCUUCGGGAUGUAAAGCUCUGUCUUCAGGGACGAUAAUGACGGUACCUGAGGAGGAAGCCACGGCUAACUACGUGCCAGCCGCCGCCGUAACAC
rnacentral:rRNA from 1 species